rnacentral:rRNA from 1 species
GACGAACGCUGGCGGCGUGCUUAACACAUGCAAGUCGAACGGAAAGGCCCUGCUUGCAGGGUACUCGAGUGGCGAACGGGUGAGUAACACGUGGGUGAUCUGCCCUGCACUUCGGGAUAAGCUUGGGAAACUGGGUCUAGUACCGGAUAGGAGCCAUCUUUAGUGUGGUGGUUGGAAAGUUUUUUCGGUGUAGGAUGAGCUCGCGGCCUAUCAGCUUGUUGGUGGGGUAAUGGCCUACCAAGGCGGCGACGGGUAGCCGGCCUGAGAGGGUGUACGGCCACAUUGGGACUGAGAUACGGCCCAGACUCCUACGGGAGGCAGCAGUGGGGAAUAUUGCACAAUGGGCGCAAGCCUGAUGCAGCGACGCCGCGUGGGGGAUGAAGGCCUUCGGGUUGUAAACUCCUUUCGCUAGGGACGAAGCUUUUUUGUGACGGUACCUAGAUAAGAAGCACCGGCUAACUACGUG